AGUGAACGCUGGCGGCGUGCCUAAUACAUGCAAGUCGAACGGAGUGGCGCACGGGUGAGUAAUAUAUAGCUUAUCUGCCUCUUGCUGGAGGACAACAGUUAGAAAUGACUGCUAAUACUCCAUAGCAAGGGAUGAGACUAUAUCGUUUUAGCUAGUCGGUGGGGUAACGGCCUACCGAGGCUAUGACGCGUAACUGGUCUGAGAGGAUGAUCAGUCACAUUGGAACUGAGACACGGUCCAAACUCCUACGGGAGGUGGCAGUAGGGAAUAGUGCGCAAUGGGAGAAACCCUGAGGCAGCAACGCCGCGUGGAGGAUAACACUUUUCGGAGCGUAAACUCCUUUUGUUAGGGUAGCGGUACCUAACGUAUAAGCACUGGCGAACUCCGUGCCAGCAGCCGCGGUAAUUC
rnacentral:rRNA from 1 species